rnacentral:rRNA from 1 species
CCUACGGGGGGCAGCAGUAGGGAAUUUUGCGCAAUGGGCGAAAGCCUGACGCAGCAACGCCGCGUGAUUGAUUAAGCCCUUCGGGGUGUAAAGAUCUGUCAGUGGGGACGAAACUUGACGGUACCCACAGAGGAAGCACCGGCUAACUCCGUGCCAGCAGCCGCGGUAAUACGGAGGGUGCAAGCGUUGUCCGGAAUCAUUGGGCGUAAAGGGUUCGUCGGUGGCUUAUUAAGUCUGGUGUUAAAUGCAGAAGCUCAACUUCUGUUCGGCACUGGAUACUGGUAAGCUGGAUUGCGGUAGAGGUAAGGGGAAUGCGUGGUGUAGCGGUGAAAUGCGUAGAUAUCAGGAGGAACAUCGGUGGCGAAGGCGCUUUGCUGGGCCGUAAUUGACACUGAGGAACGAAAGCCUGGGUAGCGAAUGGGAUUAGAUACCCGGGUAGUC